ACUUGGCUCCUAAAGCUCUAAUCGUGACAUUGGCGCCCAUACCGGUCUAUUCUAUCGCACUUGAGACGUUACCAGUGAGUUUUACUUGUAAUAAAUGGUUAUUCUUGGUGUUGGCAUUCAAAUAACUUAGUUAUAAGAUUGUAACUAAUAUUUUAAUCUCUGUGUGGUAGUACUAAACUUGUAAUUUUUGUGGAGAAUAGCUACACUAUUCUACCUACUAUAAUUUCCUUAAAGAUAAAAUGUAUCUACCUACAUUUUAUAAUAUUAACUAAAUUCUACCUACCUUUGGUAAUAUUAUUUAACUUUUAAUAACUACCUACCACACACAGAUUUUGCUUUUGUUUAACUUUUGUAAUGCUUACUGUCUUAUUGUGUAAUUUGCAACACACACCCGCGCGCCUACCUAGUAUUUUUUUAUAUUACGUACUCGGUAAUUCUAAUCUAAAAUAUAUAUUUAACUUGUAACUGAAAACGUUACUUCUAAAUAAACUAUUAAAUUAAAUAAUAAAUUGUAAAUACUACUAAAAAUAAACAAUUUAUUAUACCUACUCGUAUCUUACCUACUGGUAUCUCUUAAACCUAUAAUUGAAAAUCUACCUUAAUUAAAAAGUCUAAAACUAUUUUUAACUGUCUUGUCUGACGCACCAUCUAAAAUGGAUUGCAAGGUACACUCUACUUAGUACCUCUUUGCAUUGCUUAGGACUUAAGAUAGGAAGUUGUUGGGUGCAGCAGUUGCUAAACAACUGCGCAUACUUGUAAUUAGCUGUAGUCUACCCUACAGAUAAUAUUCCGACCUCUUCAUUAAAUAAUGGUUAUCUUAUGACUUUCUCUAAAUCUUAACUUAAUGAAUCUUGUGAGUAUUAUGAGAUCUACUAAAAAUCAUAUACUCUGUACGUCAGGUUGCAAGUAAACAGACCUAAAAUGUUUAUUUUGUUAGUCAGACUCAAGAUUAGCUAGUACAGUUGAGAUAGCGGAUUUUCCUUAGGUAAAAUCCUACCGUAAAAAGGGGGAUAUGUAACGGUUAGCGUUACCGCUGACCGUUAUCUUAGAUCUAAAUUCUAAUUUAAUUACUAUUAUCUACCUAAAUAAAUAAACUUUAAUAAUAAUAUAUCUAAAUCAACGUAAACUACCUAACUAAAUAACUUAAUUAAAUAAUUUAUAUUGUUCUACACUAAUAAAAUAAAUAAAAUAAUAAAUCUACAAGCAAACCCGCGCGAAACAAGUUGUUAAAUAUUUCUUUUGUUCUCUGUCGAGCGGGCGGGCUGUUUUUUAUGUAUGCGCAAGCGACGCGCCUACGGCCGCGAUGCUCCCGCCGCGUCUCCUAGUCCGAGCCAGAGCGUUAGUGAGCACGGACGUAUCGCUGUCCGUCACCGCCGGACCCGCGAUGUACAUAAUAUCUUAGAAACUAAAAUGUAAUCGCGUAUUGGUGAACCCCGCUACCGGGGUUCAUCUCCACCUUCACGCUCAUCUUCUUCACUACAACUACCUGCCAUGCAUGGCCAGCGCACUACAGCCGAACUACCACUUGGCUCCUCAACCCGGCAGAGCUGCCUGUCGUGUCGGACGGCCCGUACGCACACUCUAAGUGGCCCUACACCACAGUGCGUACGGUCCCUAACCGUCUGGCGCGUCGACGACCCUGCGGGCUCACCACCAGCGAGGAACCAAACCACAUCACCAUCAAUGCUAGCGAGGACAGUGGUUUGAAUACACUACCACCGGUGACGAAUCUCGUGCGAUACGAUAGUUUGCUCGACAACCCACUCCCUAAGAGUUCUCACUACUUUAAAUCUAAAUAAAUUACUUGUUAACCUAAA